CCGGUGAUGCCGAGAGAGACUGCAGCGCAAACUUGGCGCAUGCAGCGCCGAAGGAGCAACCGCCCCGGAAACUCUCAGGCCAAAGGAUCGGCAUCGCUUU
rnacentral:ncRNA from 2 species